rnacentral:rRNA from 1 species
CUUACCAUGCAGUCGAACGGCAGCGCGGGGAGCUUGCUCCCUGGCGGCGAGUGGCGGACGGGUGAGUAACGCGUAGGAAUCUGCCCAGUAGUGGGGGACAACUCCGGGAAACCGGAGCUAAUACCGCAUAAGCCCUACGGGGGAAAGCGGGGGAUCUUCGGACCUCGCGCUAUUGGAUGAGCCUACGUCGGAUUAGCUUGUUGGUGGGGUAAUGGCUCACCAAGGCGACGAUCCGUAGCUGGUCUGAGAGGACGAUCAGCCACACUGGGACUGAGACACGGCCCAGACUCCUACGGGAGGCAGCAGUGGGGAAUAUUGGACAAUGGGCGAAAGCCUGAUCCAGCAAUGCCGCGUGUGUGAAGAAGGCCUUCGGGUUGUAAAGCACUUUCAGUAGGGAAGAAAAGCAGAGCGCUAAUAUCGCUCAGUGCUGACGUUACCUACAGAAGAAGCACCGGCUAACUCCGUGCCAGCAGCCGCGGUAAUACGGAGGGUGCGAGCGUUAAUCGGAAUUACUGGGCGUAA